ACUGGCAACCUUGAACUGAAAACACCUCUCUGUGACUCCCUGUUUUGGUGACUUGCUGAGAUUUGUUUCAGCAGCAAGCAGCUGCCUGGGUGGCAGGAGCUGAGUGGGUGUCUGUGCCCUGGACCUGAAGCUUUUCUGCCUGACUUCUAGGGUAACUUUCAGCAUUAAAUUGGAUGUAAGCCAUCAACUGCAGACCCUGCAAAUAAAACUGCAUGUGCACCUCUCUGAAGAUCCUUUGUGCAUCAUGGGGAACCUACAGUCUUCUACCAUCCUGCAGCAACACUGUGAUGCCCCUAAAAAUAGCCCACUUGCUCCCAAUUGUAUGUCAUAACAUGACUCCCUGGUCUCUCUUUUGACAUAUAUUAUAUAUAUAGAGAAUACAUAUGUGUAUAAAAGGUAGUUUUGAGUUCAAACUGAAAA